rnacentral:rRNA from 1 species
AUGUCUAGCUCCAGUCCAGCCUCCCACCCAUCAUGGCCGCGGUAUGGUCCAGUGCUGCUGACAAGAUGCCCCGACUGCCCGCGCAAGGAGCCACUGAAGCGGUUUACCUAUGUGAAGGAAGACCAUGGCAACUGUGGGCGCGAUUUCGUCAAGUGCGAGAGCAGGCCACAACAGGGGCAGGUUCUGGAGAAAUGUGGGCAUUUCGAGUGGCUCGAUGUGUACAUUGAGAGGCUACAAUUGGAUGGAUUAAUUGGCGCAAACCAGGAGCUCAAUUCGGGGCCGCUUGCUGUGGAGCCCGAGAAUUUGGCGGACAGAGCCAUUCCGAUGAUGGGCAAUGCUGAACUGAAGGGGGAAUUGAAGAAAAUAAGCAAGGAACUGAAGCAGAUGGUCGAUUUGAAGCAGCAAGCAAAUAUGAUGGUUGGAGGAUUUUAUUGCUGUACCAUUGCUAUGGGUUUCUUUUAG